rnacentral:rRNA from 1 species
UGGAUCAUGUUGUUUAAUUCGAUGAUACGCGAAGAACCUUACCAGGUCUUGACAUCCCCCGCGAUGCUUUAGAGAUAAAGCGGAGGUAUUCGGGGAGACAGGUGGUGCAUGGUUGUCGUCAGCUCGUGUCGUGAGAUGUUGGGUUAAGUCCCGCAACGAGCGCAACCCCUAUUGCUAGUUACCAUCAUUAAGUUGGGGACUCUAGCGAGACUGCCAGUGAUAAACUGGAGGAAGGUGGGGAUGACGUCAAAUCAUCAUGCCCCUUAUGACCUGGGCUACAAACGUGAUACAAUGGCUGGAACAAAGGGAUGCGAAGCAGUGAUGUGGAGCGAAACCCAUAAAAACAGUCUCAGUUCGGAUUGAAGUCUGCAACUCGACUUCAUGAAGCUGGAAUCGCUAGUAAUCGUGGAUCAGCCGAGCCGCGGUGAAUACGUUCCCGGGCCUU